ensembl:lncRNA
CGUUCAACUCGUGGAAACACGUUUUUCCGAGCCGCCUUUGAACGCACCAUGAGCAGGCGGAGCCAGGUGGCAAACACCAGUGUCGUGUUGUAAUUUCAAUCACAGAGACGUUGAUUCAGAUCUGUUUCAAGCAUGUUGAGCAAACCAGCAGCCAAGAGGCAAAAGACUUUACCUUGUUUUUUCCAAACAAACCCUUGAUGCCAGCCCCUCCUGCAUCAGUGACCACUUCUGGACAAUGGACCUCUACUGCACCAGUGAUGCCAGCCUCUAAUGCACCAGUGAACGCUCCUUGACCAGUAACCUCUACUGCAACAGUGACCUCUUCUGGACCGAGGGGAGUGAGCGAGUAAAGCCAAGCCGCAAGACAGUCAUUACGGAACCACCUGCUCUGUGACUCCCCCGGCUCACCCUCCCCACACACUACCUUCAAGCCGCAAUCCAUGAGCAGAACCCAUGCAUAUAUACACACUUACACAAACACAUACACACACACACAAAAAACACACACACACACACACACACACACACUGUAUUAUAAACAUAUGCCUGGGGUCAGGUAAUGAUACACAACACAUGGCUCUCAAACAUCUCCUGGAUGCCCGGUGGAUGCGGGUUGGGAUCCGUGGCAGAAGCCCUGGAGGUGUGGGGUAUAUUGGCAUGGGCUCUUGGUUUAGUCCCUGGCUGCUGGGCACGUGUUCAGAGCAGCUCAUGCUCUCCUUCCAAAGUUUGGUUCGUUUUCGGCUCACUUUUCCAAGGGAGAACUGUGCCGCGAUACAAAGUGUUGGACCAAGAUUUGCCUUGCAUUAUUAAUAAAGCUCUGGCGAUAAUUUUGUCUUUUCUCCUCAUUAUUUGCGUACCAGCUACUUGCAGAG